GACUCCCUGGGAUAGCUCAGCCUGUAGAGCACAAGACACUUAAUCUCAGGGUUGUGGGUUCGAGCCCCAAGUUGGUCA